CUUGGUCAUUUAGAGGAAGUAAAAGUCGUAACAAGGUCUCCGUAGGUGAACCUGCGGAGGGAUCAUUACAAGAACGCCCGGGCUUCGGCCUGGUUAUUCAUAACCCUUUGUUGUCCGACUCUGUUGCCUCCGGGGCGACCCUGCCUUCGGGCGGGGGCUCCGGGUGGACACUUCAAACUCUUGCGUAACUUUGCAGUCUGAGUAAACUUAAUUAAUAAAUUAAAACUUUUAACAACGGAUCUCUUGGUUCUGGCAUCGAUGAAGAACGCAGCGAAAUGCGAUAAGUAAUGUGAAUUGCAGAAUUCAGUGAAUCAUCGAAUCUUUGAACGCACAUUGCGCCCCCUGGUAUUCCGGGGGGCAUGCCUGUUCGAGCGUCAUUUCACCACUCAAGCCUCGCUUGGUAUUGGGCAACGCGGUCCGCCGCGUGCCUCAAAUCGUCCGGCUGGGUCUUCUGUCCCCUAAGCGUUGUGGAAACUAUUCGCUAAAGGGUGUUCGGGAGGCUACGCCGUAAAACAACCCCAUUUCUAAGGUUGACCUCGGAUCAGGUAGGGAUGCCCGCUGAACUUAAGCAUAUCAAUAAGCGGAGGA
rnacentral:rRNA from 1 species